rnacentral:rRNA from 1 species
UACUCUGACUGUGCCACAUUUCACUGUCUGUACCAGAGUAAAUACCUCUAUCACACUAAAAUACUAGAAGACCCUAGAAAUUUUAUAUAAAGUGUAUUAUUAGUUUAUACUUUCAUUUUGUUGGCACGACAGCAUUGCAUAUAACCUAUUUUAAGUUAUACAUGAAGUUUCUAUAAAGACAGUGAAAAUUAGGCUAGGGAUAAAAGCAUAAUUAUUUAAUAGUUUGUGACCUCGAUGUUGGACUAAGGCAUCUUUUAUUCAUAAAAUUCAAUCUCAUGUUCUGUUCAAACAAAUAUCCUUACCUGAUCGGAA